rnacentral:rRNA from 1 species
GGGCCCGCACAAGCGGUGGAGCAUGUGGUUUAAUUCGAUGAUACGCGAGGAACCUUACCAGGGCUUAAAUGUAACGGGACAGAUCUAGAGAUAGACCCUUCUUCGGACUCAUUUACAAGGUGCUGCAUGGUUGUCGUCAGCUCGUGCCGUGAGGUGUCAGGUUAAGUCCUAUAACGAGCGCAACCCCCUAUCGUUAGUUGCCAGCGAGUAAUGUCGGGAACUCUAACGAAACUGCCAGUGCAAACUGUGAGGAAGGUGGGGAUGACGUCAAAUCAUCACGGCCCUUACGUCCUGGGCUACACACGUGCUACAAUGGCCGGUACAGAGAGCAGCCACUUCGCAAGAAGGAGCGAAUCUAUUAAAACCCCGGUC